GAUGAACGCUGGCGGCGUGCCUAAUACAUGCAAGUCGAGCGAAUGGAUUAAGAGCUUGCUCUUAUGAAGUUAGCGGCGGACGGGUGAGUAACACGUGGGUAACCUGCCCAUAAGACUGGGAUAACUCCGGGAAACCGGGGCUAAUACCGGAUAACAUUUUGAACCGCAUGGUUCGAAAUUGAAAGGCGGCUUCGGCUGUCACUUAUGGAUGGACCCGCGUCGCAUUAGCUAGUUGGUGAGGUAACGGCUCACCAAGGCAACGAUGCGUAGCCGACCUGAAGGGGUGGUGCGGCACACCGGGACUGAGGAACCGCCCAGAAUCCUACGGGGGGCAACAGUAGGGAAUCUUCCGCAAUGGAAGAAAGUCUGACGGAGCAACGCCGCGUGAGUGAUGAAGGCUUUCGGGUCGUAAAACUCUGUUGUUAGGGAAGAACAAGUGCUAGUUGAAUAAGCUGGCACCUUGACGGUACCUACCAGAAAGCCACGGCUAACUACGUGCCAGCCGCCGCCGUAA
rnacentral:rRNA from 1 species